GAGAAGCUGAGGCGGCCCAUUUAUACAUUUACCCUACCAAGGCCUGGCUAAAGAUACCACAGGCAGGUUUGUAGAACAAUUUAUUUGGUGUAUCAAGAUGAAGCAUCACUCAAAGAACAAUCAAUUUGGUGUAUCAAGGUGAAGCAUCACAAGAGGAGUACGUGAAAACUAAUGUCAUGUCUCACAAUGCAAUCAAUUGAAGGUCUCUUAGAAAACUGAUGGUAGGAUGCCUCAAUUUGUGGAUGUGCCUUUCAUCAUUCCUGUCAAGAACUCAUUCAUCAAAGUAUCCAUUCUUGAUUCAUUUACUCCAAACUUCCUAGUACCACAAAUUACAUUAAACAUGCGAAAAAGUCCACAGUUUUAUGGCUCUGACAGCUCUUUUCUCCUUUAGGCUGUCUCUGCUUCUGUUAAGAUUGAGGAAGGUCUUUGCUUUCAUUCCAUUGUAAACAAUGCUAUUUGGCCAAAGAUGCUGAGAGCAGAAAGUGGAAUCUGUGAUAAAAGAUUUUAAUUUUAUUAAGGAAGAAGACAUCGAAUCCCAAAGAAACUAUUGAGAUUGGUUUAAUCUUCUGGGGCAGAAAGAUUUUGACACACAGUUCAAUGCAUAUAAUCUGCGUGGUUAAGGCACUUGUUUUUGUACACGAGUAUCUUCUUGAUCCAUCUAAAUCCUUUCUUAAAGGAUAUCCUUCCUUUGAAUUUCAUUGUGUUUCGCGGCGGGGAGUCAGGGGAGAUGUUUGAUAAGAUAAUUUUUUUCUUCUUCUUGCAGGUUAAACACUCAACAGAAAAAGCAUAAAGUGCAAAAUUAACCUGAGCUAUGUCCUCAAGUCUAGAGGAAGGUAAAGCAAGUUGAUCUGGAUAGUCCUCAAAUCCUUCUAAUUUAUCAGAAUGAAGCAAUGGGUCUGUGCAACUCCCAGGAGGUGAUACGUAGCUUUCCCUUGGUGACUUAAUGACAGAGGAGUCACUUAUUUCUACCUCCUUUGAGCUCU
rnacentral:lncRNA from 1 species